rnacentral:rRNA from 1 species
CUUCGGGGGACAAAGUGACAGGUGGUGCAUGGUUGUCGUCAGCUCGUGUCGUGAGAUGUUGGGUUAAGUCCCGCAACGAGCGCAACCCUUAAGCUUAGUUGCCAUCAUUAAGUUGGGCACUCUAAGUUGACUGCCGGUGACAAACCGGAGGAAGGUGGGGAUGACGUCAAAUCAUCAUGCCCCUUAUGAUUUGGGCUACACACGUGCUACAAUGGACAAUACAAAGGGCAGCGAAACCGCGAGGUCAAGCAAAUCCCAUAAAGUUGUUCUCAGUUCGGAUUGUAGUCUGCAACUCGACUACAUGAAGCUGGAAUCGCUAGUAAUCGUAGAUCAGCAUGCUACGGUGAAUACGUUCCCGGGUCUUGUACACACCGCCCGUCACACCACGAGAGUUUGUAACACCCGAAGCCGGUGGAGUAACCUUUUAGGAGCUAGCCGUCGAAGGUGGGACAAAUGAUUGGGGUGAAGUCGUAACAAGGUAGCCGUAUCGGAAGGUGCGGCUGGAUCACCUCCUUU